UACAGGGGGUGCAAGCGUUAUCCGGAUUCACUGGGUUUAAAGGGUGCGUAGGUGGGCUGGUAAGUCAGUGGUGAAAUCUCCAGGCUUAACUUGGAAACUGCCAUUGAUACUAUCAGUCUUGAAUACCGUGGAGGUCAGCGGAAUAUGUCAUGUAGCGGUGAAAUGCUUAGAUAUGACAUAGAACACCAAUUGCGAAGGCAGCUGGCUACACGAAUAUUGACGCUGAUGCACGAAAGCGUGGGGAUCAAACAGG
rnacentral:rRNA from 1 species